rnacentral:misc_RNA from 1 species
AAGUCGUAACAAGGUUUCCGUAGGUGAACCUGCGGAAGGAUCAAUGAAAAGAGUGUCUCACUCGUAGUCUGUGAAUCAUAUCCAUUCUUCUGGUACUAGUUAUCAGAAACGUUUAUGUUGUACUGAUGACACGUUUAUUCAUAAACCUUUAACAAUGGAUCUCUCAGGUCCA